rnacentral:rRNA from 1 species
GACAGAGGUGCCAAGCGUUAGGCGGAAUCACUGGGCUUAAAGCGUGUGUAGGCGGAUUGGUAAGUACCUUGUGAAAUCCCACGGCUCAACCGUGGAACUGCUGGGUAUACUGCUUAUCUUGAGCCACUUAGGGGCUGUCGGAACAAAUGGUGGAGCGGUGAAAUGCGUAGAUAUCAUUUGGAACGCCAAAGGUGAAAACAGACAGCUGGGAGUGUGCUGACGCUGAGACACGAAAGCCAGGGGAGCGAACGGG